GUUCAAUGUGUUUGUGAUAAAAAACAAUUACAAUAUAUUUUAUAUUAUAUGUAAAUUUAUUGUUUAUUUUCAAUUUUUACUUUCACAUUUUAGGCUGAUUGUAAGACCUUUUCCCUAUUUAGAUUCUUAACAAUGGUAUUAAUAUGGUUAUUUUUAAACUGUUUAUGAACCAUUAUUGUAUAUGUGAUAUUAUAUUGUAAAGAAUGCAACUAUACUUUAAAGAGGGACAAAAGAUACCAGAGUGAUGUUCAAAUCAGACCAAAAUAUAUAUUCUGAAAUAAAUCAGGAAAAUAUUUUCUGUCAUAUAAUUUUGAUAAUAAGAAGUAAAAUCACAAAAAUUCCCUGAACUCUGAGGAAAAUUGAAAACUGAAAGUCCCUAAUCAAAUGGCAAAAUCAAAAGCUCAAACACAUCAAACAAAGUCAUAUGCCUGACUUGUACAGGCCUUUUCACAAUGUAGGAAAUGGUGGAUUAAACCUGGUUUUAUAGCUAGUUUAACCUCUCGCUUGUAUGACAAUCGCAUCAAAUUCCAUUAUAUUGAGACUGAUGUGUGAACAAAACAGACAGACAUAAUAGGUAAAAGGUCACAAAUAGGGAUACAGCAGUCAACAUUGUGUUAUAAUAUUAAUUAAUAUCAAAACAAACAUGUAACAAAGAAACACAAUAAGACAAAGCACAUUAGCAAACAUCAAAGACAAGAAUAUAAAUAUUAUUAUAGAACAGUAAGACAAUGACGGGAUGUAUAAGAACAGAGCAUCAUCAUUUGUUUAGAAACACAAAAAGUCAUAGUGAAAAGGCACUUUAGCAAAAAUGAAAGACAAUUAUACAAAAAUUAUCAUGUAACAAUAACACAAUGAUGGGAUGUAGAAGUACAGAGCCAUGCCAAAUGGAUAUCAUCAAAAACACACUAAACAGUUAAAGUAAUAUUCAUAAAGACAAAAAAAAUAUAACAUGUUAUUAAGAUGAGAAACAACGUCAGUACCCAUAAUCCAUACAUUAAUAGCAAUGUGUAUUAUUUGUGAAGUUGAUAAAGAAUAUUUAUCAACGAGGUCUUAGAACCUUCCGAUGAACUUUUUUUUUAGAAAAAGGAAGAUACUUUCUUUGACAUACACCUCGUCAUCAACUUUCUGCUCAUACAUUGGUGACGUUUAUAAAGUCUGAGUGCAAGCUCUUGAUCACCUUAUAAGUUGGGUAAAUUUUUUUUAUGUUUUAUACAGAAAAUAUCAGAUACGUUAAAAGAAGUAAUUGGAUAUAAGAGUAUUUCUGAAUAAGCGAAUUUGACUGUUUUCAGAAACAACACAAUAAACAUUGAUAAAUGAUUACGUGAAUUUUCUUAUCCCAUAUUUUUGCUGACUUGAUAAUCCAAAACAGAAUUGUUAUUUCAAAGACAACAAAAUUGGGAGAGGUGAGCAUAUAUACCCACACUAAUAUCUAAGCUUAUCAAUAAGUUUUGCAAUAGGUACCUUAGUCCUGACAAGAAGAUGUAUUAUCCCCGGCUUAGUAUAUAUUUAGAAUUUUGAUUGGUUAAAGCACGUCGUUACAAAACCCAUAGCCCCUGGGUGUUGCUAACCCAUAUCCCCGGACGUUGCUAACCAUUGUCCCGGGGAACUUCACGCAAGUUUUCCUUCGUUCCAUGAUUGCUCCUUGUGAAAUAUUGAAUUCUGUAGAUUAUCCAUGAUGUUUGUAAUGAAAUAUUUAAUUCAAUUUUGUCCUAUUAUGUCGAUCAUUUACACUCAUUUCAUUAAAUGCAUCACUUGACUACCACAUUUUCAAGGAAUGGGACUACUGACCUAGCAAUGCAAAUGACCCACGUUGACGUCACACUAUCUAUGACGUAAUUCUCACAACAUUGAGCGCCAAAUUUGACUCAAUCAAGUUUCUCUGUCUCCGUAUUAAAAACGUCUUAUAUUUGACCACCUGUAGGGUUCCAUAAAACUCGUCCGAUUCGGACUAAGACCAGGGAUAAAUUCGUUAUCUACGUUCAUAUCCGUAGAUAUGGAUAUUUUAACACCCUUCAGUACCCUGUACACCCUUCGGCUACGCCUCAUGGUGUACUUGGGUACUUCAGGGUGUUAAAAUAUCCAUAUCUACGGAUAUGAACAUAGAUAACUUAU
rnacentral:lncRNA from 1 species